rnacentral:rRNA from 1 species
GACGAACGCUGGCGGCGUGCCUAAUACAUGCAAGUUGAGCGCUGAAGGUUGGUACUUGUACCAACUGGAUGAGCAGCGAACGGGUGAGUAACGCGUGGGGAAUCUGCCUUUGAGCGGGGGACAACAUUUGGAAACGAAUGCUAAUACCGCAUAAAAACUUUAAACACAAGUUUUAAGUUUGAAGGAUGCAAUUGCAUCACUCAAAGAUGAUCCCGCGUUGUAUUAGCUAGUUGGUGAGGUAAAGGCCCACCAAGGCGAUGAUACAUAGCCGACCUGAGAGGGUGGUCGGCCACAUUGGGACUGAGACACGGCCCCAACUCCUACGGGAGGCAGCCGUAGGGAAUCUUCGGCAAUGGACGAAAGUCUGACCGAGCAACGCCGCGUGAGUGAAGAAGGUUUUCGGAUCGUAAAACUCUGUUGGUAGAGAAGAACGUUGGUGAGAGUGGAAAGCUCAUCAAGUGACGGUAACUACCCAGAAAGGGACGGCUAACUACGUG